rnacentral:rRNA from 1 species
AAUACCUGAUGGUGUUCAAAUUCCGCAUGUUAUUUGAACUAAAGAUUUAUCGGUAACGGAUGGGGAUGCGUGACAUUAGGUAGAUGGCGGGGUAACGGCCCACCAUGCCUACGAUGUCUAGGGGUUCUGAGAGGAAGGUCCCCCACACUGGAACUGAGACACGGUCCAGACUCCUACGGGAGGCAGCAGUGAGGAAUAUUGGUCAAUGGUCGGAAGACUGAACCAGCCAAGUAGCGUGAAGGAUGAAGGUUCUAUGGAUUGUAAACUUCUUUUAUACGGGAAUAAAACCUCCUACGUGUAGGAGCUUGUAUGUACCGUAUGAAUAAGCAUCGGCUAACUCCGUG